rnacentral:rRNA from 1 species
CCUACGGGUGGCAGCAGUGGGGGAUAUUGCACAAUGGGGGAAACCCUGAUGCAGCGACGCCGCGUGAGUGAAGAAGUAUUUCGGUAUGUAAAGCUCUAUCAGCAGGGAAGAAAAUGACAGUACCUGACCAAGAAGCCCCGGCUAACUACGUGCCAGCAGCCGCGGUAAUACGUAGGGGGCAAGCGUUAUCCGGAUUUACUGGGUGUAAAGGGAGCGUAGACGGUUAUGUAAGUCUGGAGUGAAAGCCCGGGGCCCAACCCCGGGACUGCUUUGGAAACUGUGUAACUGGAGUGCAGGAGAGGUAAGUGGAAUUCCUAGUGUAGCGGUGAAAUGCGUAGAUAUUAGGAGGAACACCAGUGGCGAAGGCGGCUUACUGGACUGUAACUGACGUUGAGGCUCGAAAGCGUGGGGAGCAAACAGGAUUAGAUACCCCAGUAGUC